rnacentral:tRNA from 1 species
UCCCAGAUGGUGCAGUGGUAUAGAAUCUGCCUGCAAUGCAGGAGAAAUGGGAAAUGCAGGUUCGAUCCCUGCGUUGGGAA